GAGGCAGCAGUGGGGAAUUGUUCGCAAUGGGCGCAAGCCUGACGACGCAACGCCGCGUGGAGGAUGAAGGUCUUCGGAUUGUAAACUCCUGUUGCCCGGGACGAAAAGCCUCGACCUAACACGUCGAGGUCUGACGGUACCGGGUGAGGAAGCCCCGGCUAACUCUGUGCCAGCAGCCGCGGUAAU
rnacentral:rRNA from 1 species